GUGUCCUUAGUACAGUGUUUAUUACACUUGACAUGGACAUAAGAGAUGUGGGUUCCAUUCCCACAGGACACA
rnacentral:tRNA from 1 species